UUUGAUGGCUUGAGACAGGAGGCUGGUGGCGCGACCGUUUUCUACACGAGUGUAAUGUCUUGGGGGAGGGGUGAGCCUCCCUAGGCAGUCAGGUCGAAUGACUGAUGGCGGCCAGGAUCGUCCACAGGAUCGUCCAGAUGCGUCGAGAAGGAAGCAGACUGUACUGGCGGGACCAAAAGUACCGGGAUAUGUACAAACAUCGGAGAUAUACAGACCCACACCGCCAGACGACAGCGGAAAGUCGAGUGUUGAUAAAGUGCAUCAUGUUGAGGAUUGGCUGAACGAAUGUUUCGGAGGGGGCUUCGUGCGUGGUUUUUGAGUGUUCCAGCAGUGUGAAGUUGCUACUCGGAGUCUGACGUCUGAAUCACAGAAGAGUUGAUGAGAGAUGAACGAAGAAUGAUGUAGUGGAUAAACAAAGGAGAGCUUUAAGAGGAGGCUGUGUCGUGUGAGGCGAGAUUGAUGUUCGUUAAUUGAUCGUACGAGAGAGGUUUGAUGAAGGAAGAUAAGAAGUCUCACAAGAAACAAUGCUAUAGUGAACAUGCGAGCAUAUGUUUGGAAUGGGAAAUGAAAAUGUAAUUAGGACAAACACUAAUGUAUAAUAGCCCUAGGGACAAUAUUAUAGGGGAGAGUGUGUCAUUCAGUAAACAAAUAAUGUACGUAUAGUUUUAUGAAUGAUUUGUAGUACACAUGCUUAAAGUGAAUAGUUUAUUACA